GGAGCUGAAGCUCUAGGCCCAAACUCCUGGAAUAGGCCCAUUUAAAAAAAAAAAAAUUUUUUACAGCUCUUCACACGCUAUUGCUUUGUGCAGAGAGAAAUUAUUAUAAUUGACCUAGAAGGAAUGCAGGGGAACACAACUAUUGUGGACUAGCUGACUUUAAAAUAGUUAACUAACCAACUGUGCAAAUCUUCUUCCUGUUUCGGUCUCCCCAUAGUGUGGCACAUUUCCUUUUUGCUACACUCACUACAUCCAUCUUGUUCUCAUUCCCAGACUGCUUACCAGGAGCUACAGUUUGCUAGCAAGAAGUGAAGGAGAGGAGUGGACAAGUGAGUGUUGCAGGACACCAGGGAACUGUGCCCAGGAAGAGUAGACCGAGCGCAUCAUUAGAUGCAUUUGUGGCAAACUCAGGGUGCUGAAACAGCGUUGUUUGCAAAGUCAGCCCUUAGCUGGUG